GACAAGCCAUAUGACCAUACCUGGAAGUAGGCUUAAGUUAGCGGGUGACAUUUGGUAAGUAGCGGGCGAUAUCAUACCUUAAACAUUCCUACUCAUACCUAAACGUGACUACUUAAACCCCUCGUAUGAUAUUGGACUGUUAAAGUUAUA
ensembl:ncRNA F43G6.12 ncRNA